CAGUAGCCGCGGGAAUACAGAGGGUGCGAGCGUCAAUCGGAUUUACUGGGCGUAAAGCGUGCGUAGGCGGCUUCUUAAGUCGGAUGUGAAAUCCCUGAGCUUAACUUAGGAAUUGCAUUCGAUACUGGGAAGCUAGAGUAUGGGAGAGGAUGGUAGAAUUCCAGGUGUAGCGGUGAAAUGCGUAGAGAUCUGGAGGAAUACCGAUGGCGAAGGCAGCCAUCUGGCCUAAUACUGACGCUGAGGUACGAAAGCAUGGGGAGCAAACAGGAUUAGAUACCCCGGUAGUCCCUGUCUCUUAUAC
rnacentral:rRNA from 1 species